rnacentral:rRNA from 1 species
UACGUAGGUGGCAAGCGUUAUCCGGAAUUAUUGGGCGUAAAGCGCGCGCAGGUGGUUUCUUAAGUCUGAUGUGAAAGCCCACGGCUCAACCGUGGAGGGUCAUUGGAAACUGGGGGACUUGAGUACAGAAGAGAAGAGUGGAAUUCCACGUGUAGCGGUGAAAUGCGUAGAGAUGUGGAGGAACACCAGUGGCGAAGGCGACUCUUUGGUCUGUAACUGACGCUGAGGCGCGAAAGCGUGGGGAGCAAACAGG